UACGAAGGGGGCUAGCGUUGCUCGGAAUCACUGGGCGUAAAGGGUGCGUAGGCGGGUCUUUAAGUCAGGGGUGAAAUCCUGGAGCCUCAACUCCAGAACUGCCUUUGAUACUGAAGAUCUUGAGUUCGGGAGAGGUGAGUGGAACUGCGAGUGUAGAGGGUGAAAAUUCGUAGAUAUUCGCAAGAACACCAGUGGCGAAGGGCGGCUCACUGGCCCGAUACUGACGGCUGAGGCACGAAAAGCGUGGGGGGAAGC
rnacentral:rRNA from 1 species